UGGUUGAUGGCACCAUAGCAACA
rnacentral:siRNA from 1 species